AACCUAAGAAGGAACCAAAGGAAAAAGUCAAACCUAAACCUGUAGAAAAAGACGCUGGACCCAAAAAGGCAGAAAAGGUGACUAAAGAAGUCAAAAAGGAGGUUACGUCUCUCUUGAAGAAGGACCAUCUUAAUGUUACCAAAGCAGAGGUUCCAGAAGAACCCAAACUGAAAGCCA